rnacentral:rRNA from 1 species
CAGGAUGAACGCUAGCGGCAGGCUAACACAUGCAAGUCGAGGGGCAACGCGAGUAGCAAUACUUGGCGGCGACCGGCGCAAGGGUGCGUAACGCGUGAGCAACAUGCCCGUAUCAGGGGGAUAAUCCAGGGAAACUUGGUCUAAUACCCCAUAGUAAUUUGUAAGGCAUCGUUAUAAGAUUUAAAGCUUUGGUGGAUACGGAUUGGCUCGCGUGACAUUAGCUGGAUGGUAAGGUAACGGCUUACCAUGGCUAUGAUGUCUAGGGGUUCUGAGAGGAAGGUCCCCCACACUGGAACUGAGACACGGUCCAGACUCCUACGGGAGGCAGCAGUGAGGAAUAUUGGACAAUGGAUGGAAAUCUGAUCCAGCCAUGCCGCCGUGAAGGAAGAAGGUCCUAUGGAUUGUAAACUUCUUUUGUAUGGGAGCAAUAAGGCCUACGAGUAGGUUGAUGAGAGUACCAUACGAAUAAGCACCGGCUAACUCCGUGCCAGCCGCCGC